GCCAGGCAUGGUGGUGCAUGCCUGUGAUCCCAGCAGCUUGGAGGCUGAGGCAGGAGGAUCACAAGUUCAAAGCCAGCCUUAGCAAAAGUGAAGCACUAAGCAACUCAGUGAGACCCUGUCUCUA
rnacentral:sRNA from 1 species